rnacentral:rRNA from 1 species
AUGAAGGGUUUUGAUGAGGCCUGGCGACGCCAGGUAGAAUCCUUUACGCAAAAAGGUAGUGUUGGAAUUAAAGUAAAUGAUGAUAUAGGUCAUUAUUUUCAGACACACAAAGGCCUGAGGCAAGGAGACCCAAUGUCCCCUAUAUUGUUCAACAUUGUAGUUGAUAUGUUGGCCAUUCUCAUAGGCAGGGCAAAGAACGCCGGUCAGGUAGGUGGCUUGGUGCCUAACCUAGUUGAUGGGGGUGUAUCCAUAUUGCAGUACGCUGAUGAUACAAUCAUCUUCAUGGAGCAUGACCUGGCAAAAGCAAGAAACAUGAAGCUGGUGUUGUGUUUAUUUGAACAAUUGUCCGGUUUAAAGAUUAACUUUCAUAAAAGCGAGUUGUUCUGCUUUGGUAGAGCCAAGGAGGAACAAGAGGCUUAUAGACAAUUGUUUGGUUGUGAAUCAGGGGCCUUACCUUUUACUUACCUGGGUAUACCCAUUCAUCAUCGUAAGCUCACGAACAGAGAGUGGAAAUGUAUCGAAGAUCGGUUCGAAAAGAAACUUAGUUGUUGGAAGGGCAAACUUCUGUCUUAUGGAGGCCGGUUAAUUCUUAUUAAUUCGGUGCUCACAAGUUUGCCGAUGUUCCUACUAUCUUUCUUUGAGGUUCCAGUUGGGGUCAGGAAAAGGCUGGACUUCUAUCGGUCAAGAUUUUUUUGGCAGAGCAAUGAUCUUAAGAGAAAGUAUAGACUCACCAAGUGGGAUAUUAUUUGUCGUCCCAAGGAUCAGGGGGGGUUGGGUAUCAAGAAUCUUGAGAUCAAGAACAGAUUCCUGCUUAGUAAGUGGCUAUAUAAGUUAUCAGUUGGGACUGAUGCAACUUGGGCACAGAUACUUCGUAACAAGUAUCUGCAAUCCAAAACCUUGUCACAGGUGACAAUGAGACCAACUGAUUCGCCAUUUUGGAAGGGGCUUAUGAGAGUUAAGUCAGCCUUCUUUAACAGAACAAAGUUUAUAGUCGGAGCUGGUAACGAUACUCGCUUCUGGGAGGACACUUGGCUUGGUGAGACACCUUUGGCAUUACAGUACCCAUCUCUGUAUCGUAUUGUGAAUCGCCGUGACGCGCUUGUGGCGACGAUUAUGCAGGCCACCCCUCUUAAUAUUCAGUUUAGGAGGGUGCUUGUUGGUAAUAGAUGGGAAGCUUGGCUUCAUCUGGUGCGUAGACUGAUGGAGGUUCAGCUACAACAUCAGCCCGAUCAGUUGUGUUGGAAACUUUCUAGGUCUGGACAAUUUACCGUUAAAUCGAUGUACAUCGAUGUUAUUAACUCGAGUGUCAUUCCUAACUCCAAACAUGUUUGGAAAGUCAAAGUUCCUUUGAAAAUCAAAGUGUUUAUGUGGUUUGUCCAUAAACAGGUUAUUCUAACAAAGGACAACUUGGUUAAGCGCAAUUGGACAGGAUCUACUAGGUGUAGUUUCUGUGAUCGGGAUGAAACCAUUAAGCAUAUAUUCUUUGAGUGCCCGUUGGCAAGGAUUUUGUGGCGCUCAGUGCAAAUUGCUUUUAACAUUACUCCUCCGAGUUCGAUCGGGUCGUUAUUUGGAACGUGGCUGGAUGGGAUAGAGUCCGUUACAGCUAGACACAUUCGUGUAGGAGUGUGCGUUGUUAUGGGCAAUUUGGAACUGCAGAAAUGA